rnacentral:lncRNA from 1 species
AUAGUAUCCUCAUUUUACAGAGGAGGGAAUCGAGUCUGGGAGACAUUGACCGCAGAAGUCCAGGAGAGUCCAGCACAGCAUUCCAGUUCACCUGACUGCAAAGUCUCUUCUGUUAACUCUCUGCAUCCUGUUUUCUGGAAUGUUUCUUUCCGCGUUGUGAAAGGAGUCUCUCUUGAGUACAUUUGGAAGGAAGAUACUAUAAAAUACUGGAAAGAACUGGUCACAUUAUUAGAAUAUGAACUAUCUCUAGUGAUGUGGGCAUCCAAACAGAAGAUCCUCAACCAUCGGCUUCAGUUAGGAAUAAUCAACAUUCAGUACUCUGUCUCUGCAGCAGAUCCCAUGGUUCCCUCUAACCACCAGAUGCUACCGAGGCUAACAGAUCUGAACCAAGGGAAAAAGGGAAUUUUGUGGGGAAAGCUGUCUUUCAGAAUCCUACUUCGAACCAAAAGAAUGUUCUCUUGAGACUGUCUGCUGUAGAGGAGGUUCCUUGGUUCCCUAGAAGCCAGCUUGGUUAUUUCAAUGGCUGUUGCACAUGAUUCCAGUGAAGCACUUGUCACAAGACUGACCUCCUUACAGAAAAAUAGAGUUUCUGUGUAUCAGAUGUCCAACUUGAUGUUUAGCACAGAGUAAUCCGUCCAUAAAUACUACCCAAAUGAGCUAGGAAACCAUUUAUUUGGUAUUGAUACUACAUUUUUGUAUAUUGUAUGUCCUGAUAAGGACUUAGAAGUUCUUUGAAGUCAAGAACCUACACAGAACACUGAUGUUAAAAAAGCAAAUCUGGGGAAGAGAAAGAAAACUGCAUGUAGCUGGACAUACACUACCACCUCUGAAGUCGACUUGUUAAAAGAAUUGAUCCUGAAUCUGAUCAAACCUUUAGAUCCAACUACAAUUUAUAGAAAAUGUGAAGAAUAGAGGAACAUGUUAAUGACACCACGAGACUGUAUCCAGCAAAAUCCAGAUUGUGUGGUGUUUACCAUAGUAAUCUGCAAACUACAAGCUGUCCCUUGCCUAUUUUUGUACAUCCUCAAGCUUAGGAUGAUUUUACAUUUUUUAAAACUUAAAAAAAAAAUGAAACAAGGAAGAAAAAGUGAUGCAGGUGUCUUCUCUAGGGGACUAUUGACACUUUUAUUCCAAAAAUAAAUUGCAAAAAGAAAACCAAGCGAGAUUAACAGAGACUGAAGUCAUAGAUGAACUCAUAAUGAAUUGAUUUCUAAUUUAAACAAACUACAAAGCAACAAAAGAAACAUUCAUAACAACUAUGAUAUAAUUGAUAUUUAAUGAUUUAAUGAUAUUAGUGAUUUAAUGGUAUUUUAUUGAUAAUGAUAUUUAAUGGUAUUUUAUUGAUUAAGGUAUGAUAAUGUUUUUUUAAAAUACAUUAUUUUUUUAUCUACGCCCUGAAAUUUUUAUGGAUGAUGCUGUGUGGGGAUUUGCUAUUUAGUAAUAAGUGGAGGAGGAAGUGAGCGGGGUUCUGGACAUAGUGAGAUUAUCCAUGAGUUGGUGAUUGCUGUAAUUGGAUGACUGAUUCAUGAGGGUUAUUAUACGCUUGUACUUUUCAAUGUAUUUGAAAUUUUUUACAGUAAAAAGUUAAAAAAAACCCAAUAAACUGGAUUUCUAUCUGGGAUAGAUUCCCAUCAAAAGGACUUUCUUACUGUACUUAGAUUUUUUUUAUUUUACUGACUGCAGGUUCCUUAUCUGUAAAACAGAAAUGAAAAUGAUGCCUGCUUCAUAGGGUUAUGGCAACCAGUAUAUGAGCUACUGCAUAAACAGAGCUU